GACGAACGCUGGCGGCGUGCUUAACACAUGCAAGUCGAACGGAAAGGCCCUGCUUUUGUGGGGUGCUCGAGUGGCGAACGGGUGAGUAACACGUGAGUAACCUGCCCUUGACUUUGGGAUAACUUCAGGAAACUGGGGCUAAUACCGGAUAGGAGCUCCUGCUGCAUGGUGGGGGUUGGAAAGUUUCGGCGGUUGGGGAUGGACUGGCGGCUUAUCAGCUUGUUGGUGGGGUAGUGGCUUACCAAGGCAUUGACGGGUAGCCGGCCUGAGAGGGUGACCGGCCACAUUGGGCCUGAGAUACGGCCCAGACUCCUACGGGAGGCAGCAGUGGGGAAUAUUGCACAAUGGGCGGAAGCCUGAUGCAGCAACGCCGCGUGCGGGAUGACGGCCUUCGGGUUGUAAACCGCUUUCGCCUGUGACGAAGCGUGAGUGACGGUAAUGGGUAAAGAAGCACCGGCUAACUACGUG
rnacentral:rRNA from 1 species